GACGGAGGAUGCAAGUGUCAUCCGGAAUCACUGGGCGUAAAGCGUCUGUAGGUGGUUUAAAAAGUCUACUGUUAAAAAUUGAAGCUUAACUUCAAAGAUGCCGUAGAAACUUUUAAACUUGAGGAUGGUAGGGGUAGAGGGAAUUUCCAGUGGAGCGGUGAAAUGCGUAGAGAUCGGAAAGAACACCAACGGCGAAAGCACUCUGCUGGGCCGACACUGACACUGAGAGACGAAAGCUAGGGGAGCGAAUGGG
rnacentral:rRNA from 1 species